rnacentral:rRNA from 1 species
AUUGAACGCUGGCGGCAGGCCUAACACAUGCAAGUCGAGCGGAUGAAGGGAGCUUGCUCCUGGAUUCAGCGGCGGACGGGUGAGUAAUGCCUAGGAAUCUGCCUGGUAGUGGGGGAUAACGUCCGGAAACGGGCGCUAAUACCGCAUACGUCCUGAGGGAGAAAGUGGGGGAUCUUCGGACCUCACGCUAUCAGAUGAACCUAGGUCGGAUUAGCUAGUUGGUGGGGUAAAGGCCUACCAAGGCGACGAUCCGUAACUGGUCUGAGAGGAUGAUCAGUCACACUGGAACUGAGACACGGUCCAGACUCCUACGGGAGGCAGCAGUGGGGAAUAUUGGACAAUGGGCGAAAGCCUGAUCCAGCCAUGCCGCGUGUGUGAAGAAGGUCUUCGGAUUGUAAAGCACUCUAAGUUGGGAGGAAGGGCAGUAAGUUAAUACCUUGCUGUUUUGACGUUACCAACAGAAUAAGCACCGGCUAACUUCGUG